UACGUAGGAUGCAAGCGUUGUCCGGAUUUAUUGGGUUUAAAGGGUGCGUAGGCGGCCUAUUAAGUUAGUGGUAAAAACGUUCGGCUUAACCGGAUACCCGCCAUUGAUACUGAUAGACUUGAGUGCGACAGAGGGUGUUGGAAUGUGUGGUGUAGCGGUGAAAUGCUGAGAUAUCACGCAGAACACCAAUGGCGAAGGCAGAUGCCUAUGUCGUAACUGACGCUGAGGCACGAAAGCGUGGGGAGCAAACAGG
rnacentral:rRNA from 1 species